UUGAUAUGGGGUUAGCUUGUAAACCAAGGGCAGGUUGGGGGUUGGGGGGGAGGGCACUUCAUGAGCCUGCCUAAAUGUGAAGCCAACUCAGAGGAGUGCAGCGCCAAGAGAUGAUAGACACAGGAGAGAGAGGUGGAGGAAAGGAGACCCCUACAGGACACAGAAGGACGACCGUGUGAGAUGUCGGGGAGAAGACCACCACCUGCAGGCCCAGGAGAGGGGCCUCGGAGGAAGCCAACUCUGCCCACACCGGAUCGCAGCCUUCAGCCUCCAGCCUCCAGAACGGAGAGGAAGUGAAUGUUUGUUAUUCAAGUCGCUCCGUCUGUGGUGCUUGUUACGUGCCGGGGCCAACAGCCUCCAGGCUUGCUGCAGAGCAGGGGGACACCACAGGGGUCCUGCCCCUCUGGGUCAUGCAAGAAGACUUCACAGUGGAGCCAGCAAGCCUAGGGAAGAGGGGCCGGGAGGGCACGAGGAAGGAGAAAUUUAUGCAUAUCCUUACAGAAUAAACUGAACUUUUAAUAAAAAUUAUACUUAUUUAUUUGACAGACAAAGAUCACAAGUAGGCAGAGA